UUGAUACUGUUUUUCUCGAGUAUGGUCAAGGGCAUGCCGGAAUGUGUAAUGUAGCGGUGAAAUGCUUAGAUAUUACACAGAACACCGAUAGCGAUGGCAGCUUGCUGGGCCGUUACUGACGCUGAUGCACGAAAGCGUGGGGAUCGAACAGGAUUAGAUACCCUGGUAGACCACGCCGUAAACGAUGAUCACUAGCUGUUGGCGAUACACCGAUCAGCGGCAAAGCAAAAGCAUUAAGUGAUCCACCUGGGGAGUACGGCCGCAAGGCUGAAACUCAAAGGAAUUGACGGGGGCCCGCACAAGCGGAGGAACAUGUGGUUUAAUUCGAUGAUACGCGAGGAACCUUACCUGGGCUUAAAUGUAGAGUGCAUUGAGAGGAAACUUUCAUUUUCUUCGGAACUCUUUACAAGGUGCUGCAUGGUUGUCGUCAGCUCGUGCCGUGAGGUGUCGGGUUAAGUCCCAUAACGAGCGCAA
rnacentral:rRNA from 1 species